UAGGGAAUCUUCCACAAUGGACGAAAGUCUGAUGGAGCAACGCCGCGUGAGUGAUGAAGGGUUUCGGCUCGUAAAACUCUGUUGUUGGAGAAGAACGGGUGUCAGAGUAACUGUUGACAUCGUGACGGUAUCCAACCAGAAAGCCACGGCUAACUACGUGCCAGCAGCCGCGGUAAUACGUAGGUGGCAAGCGUUGUCCGGAUUUAUUGGGCGUAAAGCGAGCGCAGGCGGUUUUUUAGGUCUGAUGUGAAAGCCUUCGGCUUAACCGGAGAAGUGCAUCGGAAACCGGGAGACUUGAGUGCAGAAGAGGACAGUGGAACUCCAUGUGUAGCGGUGAAAUGCGUAGAUAUAUGGAAGAACACCAGUGGCGAAGGCGGCUGUCUGGUCUGCAACUGACGCUGAGGCUCGAAAGCAUGGGUAGCGAACAGGAUUAGAUACCCUGGUAGUCCAUGCCGUAAACGAUGAGUGCUAAGUGUUGGAGGGUUUCCGCCCUUCAGUGCUGCAGUUAACGCAUUAAGCACUCCG
rnacentral:rRNA from 1 species